ACUGCUCAGUAACACGUAGCUAACCUGCCCUAUCGCCCGUGAUAUCCUCGGGAAACUGAGGUUAAGAACGGAUAGGCGCCGACUACUGGAAUGUGUUGGCGCUGAAAAUUUGCGAUAGACUGGGGCUGCGGUGGAUUAGGUUGUUGGCGGAGUAAUAGCCCACCAAGCCGAUGAUCCAUACGGGUUUUUAGCGAAAGGGCCCGGAGAGGGAGUCUGAGACACUACUCCCAGCCCUACGGGGUGCAGCAGUCGGGUAUUUUCUGCAAUGUACGAAAGUAUGACAGGGCGAGCCAGAGUGAUUCUCUAUAUUUGAGAAUCUUUUGUGACAUGUAAAUAGUGUUACGAAUAAGGACCGGGCAAGACCGGUGCCAGCCGCCGCGGUAACACCGGCGGCCCGAGUGGUGAUCGUGAUUAUUGGGUCUAAAGGGUCCGUAGCCGGUUUGGUCAGUCCUCCGGGAAAUCUGACGGCUCAACCGUUAGGCUUUCGGGGGAUACUGCCAGGCUUGGAACCGGGAGAGGUAAGAGGUACUACAGGGGUAGGAGUGAAAUCUUGUAAUCCCUGUGGGACCACCUGUGGCGAAGGCGUCUUACCAGAACGGGUUCGACGGUGAGGGACGAAAGCUGGGGGCACGAACCGGAUUAGAUACCCGGGUAGUCCCAGCCGUAAACGAUGCUCGCUAGGUGUCAGGCAUGGCGCGACCGUGUCUGGUGCCGCAGGGAAGCCGUGAAGCGAGCCACCUGGGAAGUACGGCCGCAAGGCUGAAACUUAAAGGAAUUGGCGGGGGAG
rnacentral:rRNA from 1 species